AGUCGAACGAUGAUGCCCAGCUUGCUGGGCGGAUUAGUGGCGAACGGGUGAGUAAUACGUGAGUAACCUGCCCUUGACUCUGGGAUAAGCCUGGGAAACUGGGUCUAAUACUGGAUACUACCGUCCACCGCAUGGUGGGUGGUGGAAAGGGUUUUACUGGUUUUGGAUGGGCUCACGGCCUAUCAGCUUGUUGGUGGGGUAAUGGCUCACCAAGGCGACGACGGGUAGCCGGCCUGAGAGGGUGACCGGCCACACUGGGACUGAGACACGGCCCAGACUCCUACGGGAGGCAGCAGUGGGGAAUAUUGCACAAUGGGCGGAAGCCUGAUGCAGCGACGCCGCGUGAGGGAUGACGGCCUUCGGGUUGUAAACCUCUUUCAGUAGGGAAGAAGCGAGAGUGACGGUACCUGCAGAAGAAGCGCCGGCUAACUACGUGCCAGCAGCCGCGGUAAUACGUAGGGCGCAAGCGUUGUCCGGAAUUAUUGGGCGUAAAGAGCUCGUAGGCGGUUUGUCGCGUCUGCUGUGAAAGCCCGGGGCUCAACCCCGGGUCUGCAGUGGGUACGGGCAGACUAGAGUGCAGUAGGGGAGACUGGAAUUCCUGGUGUAGCGGUGAAAUGCGCAGAUAUCAGGAGGAACACCGAUGGCGAAGGCAGGUCUCUGGGCUGUUACUGACGCUGAGGAGCGAAAGCAUGGGGAGCGAACAGGAUUAGAUACCCUGGUAGUCCAUGCCGUAAACGUUGGGCACUAGGUGUGGGGGACAUACCACGUUUUCCGCGCCGUAGCUAACGCAUUAAGUGCCCCGCCUGGGGAGUACGGCCGCAAGGCUAAAACUCAAAGGAAUUGACGGGGGCCCGCACAAGCGGCGGAGCAUGCGGAUUAAUUCGAUGCAACGCGAAGAACCUUACCAAGGCUUGACAUUCACCGGACCGCCCCAGAGAUGGGGUUUCCCUUCGGGGCUGGUGGACAGGUGGUGCAUGGUUGUCGUCAGCUCGUGUCGUGAGAUGUUGGGUUAAGUCCCGCAACGAGCGCAACCCUCGUUCUAUGUUGCCAGCACGUGAUGGUGGGGACUCAUAGGAGACUGCCGGGGUCAACUCGGAGGAAGGUGGGGAUGACGUCAAAUCAUCAUGCCCCUUAUGUCUUGGGCUUCACGCAUGCUACAAUGGCCGGUACAAAGGGUUGCGAUACUGUGAGGUGGAGCUAAUCCCAAAAAGCCGGUCUCAGUUCGGAUUGAGGUCUGCAACUCGACCUCAUGAAGUCGGAGUCGCUAGUAAUCGCAGAUCAGCAACGCUGCGGUGAAUACGUUCCCGGGCCUUGUACACACCGCCCGUCAAGUCACGAAAGUUGGUAACACCCGAAGCCGGUGGCCUAACCCCUUGUGGGAGGGAGCCGUCGAAGGUGG
rnacentral:rRNA from 1 species